rnacentral:misc_RNA from 1 species
GAGAGAGAGAGAUUCUAUUGAAUAAUUGAACCGGUCGGGUCAAUCGGAUCACAACAGUUCACAGGUUCAACCGCCGAGUCGACCAAAUCAUGACAGGUAACUUCCUCAUCUAGUUCAAUUACAAACCUGAACCGGUUUCAAAGCAGUUCACCGAUUUACUGGUUCAACCGCCGGUUUGGUUCAAAUUUAAUAACUAUGCAUUAUGUUACUUAAAUAUUU